rfam:Rattus norvegicus chromosome 6, whole genome shotgun sequence.
GUGCUAAUUGUGGCUGAGCCCCUGACCUUGAACCUGGGAUCCUGCCCAUGAUCUCCUGGUGAUACCGUCAGGGGUAGAUUCCUCGUUAG